CUGGCUCAGGAUGAACGCUGGCGGCGUGCCUAAUACAUGCAAGUCGAACGAGGUGGAAGGGAGCUUGCUCCUUGAAACCUAGUGGCGAACGGGUGAGUAACACGUAGGUAACCUGCCCUUAAGCUUGGGAUACCCAGAGGAAACUUUGGCUAAUACCGGAUAACAACAGAGGAGGCAUCUCCUUUGCUUGAAAGGCCCUUCACGGGGUCACUUAAGGAUGGACCUGCGGCGCAUUAGCUAGUUGGUGAGAUAACAGCCCACCAAGGCGAGGAUGCGUAGCCCGACCUGAGAGGGUGAUCGGCCACAUUGGAACUGAGACACGGUCCAAACUCCUACGGGAGGCAGCAGUAAGGUAGUUUUCGGCAAUGGGGGAAACCCUGACCGAGCAACGCCGCGUGAGUGAAUGACGGCCCUAUGGGUUGUAAAGCUCUGUUGUAAGGGACGAAUGAUUCGCUUAGGAAAUGAAGCGGAUUUGACGGUACCUUACCAGAAAGCCACGGCUAACUACGUGCCAGCCGCCGC
rnacentral:rRNA from 1 species